CUUACUUACAGCUUUAUCUGAAAUAUAUUAACAGCAUUAAGAAAUAUAUGAACUCGGUGUCAUCGUCACGGCUCUAGUGAUCAAUGGUAUUUUAGGCUGUGAUUGUGCAGAAUACAAAUAAAUAUGAUUUACUGCAAAUGAACCGUUAUACUAUUAAUGUUUCUACCACAACAUUCUAGUAAGAGUCUUUCAGGGUCCCUCUUUAUCUGAAGUAGUGAGAACUCUUCCUGAGAUAGAACAUUGGAGCCCACAAUAGAUGGGCAAACAACAACUGUCUUUUAUUGAGAACUUUGGUCUCAGUGGAAUAGCUGCAGGUGUCUCGAAAACUGCUGCUGCUCCAAUUGAGCGCGUCAAGCUACUUGUACAGAAUCAAGAUGAGAUGAUCAAAUCAGGACGUCUUGCAAAGCCCUACAAUGGUGUUAUUGACUGCACAGUACGCACAUUCAAAACUGAAGGUAUCCUUCCAUUUUGGCGUGGCAACUUAGCUAAUGUUAUCAGAUAUUUUCCUACACAAGCCCUGAACUUUGCCUUUAAGGAUCAAAUUAAAGCUGCUUUUAAAGCCAGCAAUCAGGACAGUCAUGCAGUAAAGUUCUCCAAGAAUAUUGCAUCCGGUGGUGUAGCAGGAGCUAUGUCUCUGUGCUUUGUUUACUCCCUGGACUAUGCUAGAACAAGGUUGGCAAAUGACUCCAAGGGAUGUGCUAAAAGUGGUGGUCAACGUCAAUUCAAUGGUCUCAUUGAUGUAUACAAGAAGACACUGAAGUCUGAUGGCAUCGUUGGACUCUACAGAGGUUUUGUCAUUUCUUGCGUUGGAAUUGUUGUGUACCGCGGUUGCUAUUUUGGUUUCUAUGACACCCUGAAACCAAUUAUGCUCGGAGACGAUGCUAAUGUGUUUAUGUCAUUUGUCUUGGGUUACUUUGUGACUAUUACAUCUGGUAUUAUCUCCUACCCUAUUGACACAAUACGUAGACGUAUGAUGAUGACAUCUGGAGAGGCAGUCAAGUACAAGGGAUCCAUAGAUUGUGCCAAAACUGUCAUCCAAAGUGAGGGUUUCAUGUCCCUCAUGAAAGGAGCAGGUGCCAACAUAUUGAGAGGUGUAGCUGGUGCUGGUGUCUUGGCUGGAUUUGAUGCCUUCAAACAAGCAUAUAUUAGAAUGAAAAAUCAAUAAUACCUUGAAAGUAACAUUUCAGUAAAAUAACAUAAUCUACAAAGACAUUCCUUACUCAAAAACUCUAACAUUGAUAUUUAGAAAAUGCUCAAGUUUAUAUUUCAGAUAUUUUUUACAGAUUUUACACCUAAUAGGGCUAUAGCAUUACAAUAUUAAUUGAAAUCUUUAUAUCUAUUUAUUUUGAGAAAUAAACUCAUUAACUCAAUAAAUGUUUUAAUUGUCCAUUCUUAACUGACAUACUGUCUUUUGGUUCAAACAA
rnacentral:misc_RNA from 1 species